UUUUGUAGUCAUCCGCUCGUCUCAAAGAUUAAGCCAUGCAUGUGUAAGUAUAAAUAGUUAACUUUGAAACUGCGAAUGGCUCAUUAUAUCAGUUAUAGUUUAUUUGAUGAAGAAUACUAAUUGGAUAACCGUAGUAAUUCUAGAGCUAAUACAUGUAUAAAGUCUUGUAGACUGCAUUUAUUAGAAUGAAAACCAUAGGUUUCGGCCUAUUCGUGAGUAAUAAUAACUAAUCAUAUCGUAUGCUUAUGUAACGAUGUGUCUUUCAAGUUUCUGCCCUAUCAGCUUUCGAUGGUAGUGUAUUGGACUACCAUGGCAGUAACGGGUAACGAAGAA
rnacentral:rRNA from 1 species